AUUGAACGCUGGCGGCAUGCUUUACACAUGCAAGUCGAACGGCAGCGCGGGCUUCGGCCUGGCGGCGAGUGGCGAACGGGUGAGUAAUGCAUCGGAACGUGCCCAGUAGUGGGGGAUAGCCCGGCGAAAGCCGGAUUAAUACCGCAUACGACCUGAGGGUGGAAGCGGGGGACCGAAAGGCCUCGCGCUAUUGGAGCGGCCGAUGUCGGAUUAGCUAGUUGGUGGGGUAAAGGCUUACCAAGGCGACGAUCCGUAGCUGGUCUGAGAGGACGACCAGCCACACUGGGACUGAGACACGGCCCAGACUCCUACGGGAGGCAGCAGUGGGGAAUUUUGGACAAUGGGGGCAACCCUGAUCCAGCCAUGCCGCGUGCGGGAAGAAGGCCUUCGGGUUGUAAACCGCUUUUGUUCGGGAAGAAAUCCUCUGGGCUAAUACCCCGGGGGGAUGACGGUACCGGAAGAAUAAGCACCGGCUAACUACGUG
rnacentral:rRNA from 1 species